rnacentral:rRNA from 1 species
AACGGCCGCGGUAUCCUAACCGUGCAAAGGUAGCAUAAUCACUUGCCUAUUAAUUGUAGGCUAGAAUGAACGGGUUAACGAAAUAAAGACUGUCUCAAUUAAUUACCUAAAAAUUACUAUCUACCUGAAGAAGAGUAGAUAAUCUCGAAGGACAAGAAGACCCUAUAGAGCUUAAUUUUAAUUAUAGAACUAAACUAUAAAAAUAUUCGGUUGGGGCGACCCGGGGCUAAUCAAUCACCCACUACAUAAAAGAUAAAUUAAUCAAGUAAUUGACCCCUAAAAGAUCAUAAGAACAAGCUACCUUAGGGAUAACAGGCUAAUCCCACUCAAGAGUCCUUAUCAACAGUGGGGUUUGGCACCUCGAUGUUGGCUUAGG